rnacentral:rRNA from 1 species
GAUGAACGCUGGCGGCGUGCUUAACACAUGCAAGUCGAACGAAGCACCUUAUUCUGAUUUCUUCGGAAUGAAAAAUUUGGUGACUGAGUGGCGGACGGGUGAGUAACGCGGGGGUAACCUGCCUCAUACAGGGGGAUAACAGUUAGAAAUGACUGCUAAUACCGCAUAAGACCACAGCACCGCAUGGUGCAGGGGUAAAAACUCCGGUGGUAUGAGAUGGACCCGCGUCUGAUUAGGUAGUUGGUGGGGUACCAGCCGACCAAGCCGACGAUCAGUAGCCGACCUGAGAUGGUGACCGGCCACAUUGGGACUGAGACACGGCCCAAACUCCUACGGGAGGCAGCAGUGGGGAAUAUUGCACAAUGGGGGAAACCCUGAUGCAGCGACGCCGCGUGAGCGACGAAGUAUUUCGGUAUGUAAAGCUCUAUCAGCAGGGAAGAAAAUGACAGUACCUGACUAAGAAGCACCGGCUAAAUACGUGCCAGCCGCCGCAGUAA